rnacentral:lncRNA from 1 species
GGCGGAAGUCACGUCAUAUAGGUGUUGGGUAACUUUUUUUCAUUCAAUAGAUGAAAUUAUAAACUGAAAGCUGUAUUUCGUGUUUACCCAGGCUGUUUACUUUCCCUAUCUCUCAUAUUAUAGCUGUUAUUACCGAAGAGAGAUUGGGAAAAGAGGGAGAGCCCUCCCCAUGUUUGUGUUUACUUGUGCUGCACCCUGCAAAUGAAGAACAAAACCUCCUCUCUGCUGCCUAAUCCAUCCACUUAGCAGAAGCUGGAUUCUGAUAAGUCCCACAGCAGUUUUCCUAUUGGCUGUGAUGUCAGCAAGGAAGGCGGGUUUUAAAUAAAGGCUGACUUCAGUCAGUGUGUUAGAAAUCUCGCCUUCAGAAGGAGAAACCCUUCUGAGACUUGAAGCCUGGAGUAAGUGAAAUGCUGAUAAUUAUGUCUGCCAGUAAGAACCAACGUCUAUCUGAAGUAGACCCUGUUACAAUGUCUGAUCACACCCUUUGUUUCAUAUUGAAAUUUAAGUGGUGAUCUGAAACAAGUAAGUGAGACAAAUAUGAACCUUAUUGUCUAAAACAAUGCAAUGGUAAUUGCAACUCUGUGUUAUCUUACUUAAAAUUUCUAUUUUACUUUUUAGACAAUAGACCCUUGGAGCAUAUUAUAACUUGUGAUCAACAAAAUACUUUCAUAAAAUCCUUUAACAGCAAUUCAAAAAUUUAAUAACUUUUUUAAAAAGUAUAAUUAUAAAUCACUUCUGCUGCAUAGAACCUAUUUCCAAAUAAACACAAAAAUAUCUUGGUAACAAUACAGUAAAAAAGCAAUUCUGGAUAAUGUAACACUUUAUGAAAUAUUGCUGAACUUCUGUUCUAAUUAUGUUUCCAACCAAUUUCAGAAAAGAAAGGCUUUUCUAUACAUGGCAGUAAAAGCUUAGUGUAGAAGAAAUUCAUUAGCAAAGCAACAGUUCCCAAGUUGGCUGAUUCCAGAUGCAUUGGCUCACAACUCUAGUCAUCUCCAGCCAACGUGGUCAUGAUGACAACUUGGUCCAGCUAGCAGUGGAAGAGGUUGCUGUAAAACAUAAAGCUUUUGAUCAUCGAGGGAAUCAUGAAAACACUUCUUUCAGUGAAUCAAGCAAAUAAAACAAAAACAUAAACAUAAAACAUGUUGAAGAAUCCCUCCAACAUAAAACAUAAAUGUGCCCUGCAGUGAGCUUCUGGUGGGAAGUUACCCUUCAGUACAUUUGUUCCUUUCACUCCUGGAAGAUCCUCUGGUAAUAAUUAUUUGUGCAGAUGGAAUCAUGAUCUAAAAUGUUGUAACAAUUUCUGUGGCUGGAAACAGCAGCAGGUGAGCAGACUGCUAUGGCAGUGCCCCUCUUAGGCAGCCUCUGGCAUCAUGC